AUACGGAGGAUCCGAGCGUUAUCCGGAUUUAUUGGGUUUAAAGGGUGCGUAGGUGGUUUGAUAAGUCAGCGGUGAAAGUUUGCAGCUUAACUGUAAAAAUGCCGUUGAAACUGUCGGACUUGAGUGUAAAUGAGGUAGGCGGAAUGCGUGGUGUAGCGGUGAAAUGCAUAGAUAUCACGCAGAACUCCGAUUGCGAAGGCAGCUUACUAAGCUACAACUGACACUGAAGCACGAAAGCGUGGGGAUCAAACAGGAUUAGAUACCCUGGUAGUCCACGCAGUAAACGAUGAUUACUAGCUGUUGCGAUACACAGUAAGCGGCACAGCGAAAGCGUUAAGUAAUCCACCUGGGGAGUACGCCGGCAACGGUGAAACUCAAAUGAAUUGGCGGGG
rnacentral:rRNA from 1 species